AAAUUGAAGAGUUUGAUCAUGGCUCAGAUUGAACGCUGGCGGCAGGCCUAACACAUGCAAGUCGAGCGGAAACGACACUAACAAUCCUUCGGGUGCGUUAAUGGGCGUCGAGCGGCGGACGGGUGAGUAAUGCCUAGGAAAUUGCCUUGAUGUGGGGGAUAACCAUUGGAAACGAUGGCUAAUACCGCAUAAUGCCUACGGGCCAAAGAGGGGGAUCUUCGGACCUCUCGCGUCAAGAUAUGCCUAGGUGGGAUUAGCUAGUUGGUGAGGUAAUGGCUCACCAAGGCGACGAUCCCUAGCUGGUCUGAGAGGAUGAUCAGCCACACUGGAACUGAGACACGGUCCAGACUCCUACGGGAGGCAGCAGUGGGGAAUAUUGCACAAUGGGCGAAAGCCUGAUGCAGCCAUGCCGCGUGUAUGAAGAAGGCCUUCGGGUUGUAAAGUACUUUCAGUUGUGAGGAAGGGGGUAACGUUAAUAGCGUUAUCUCUUGACGUUAGCAACAGAAGAAGCACCGGCUAACUCCGUGCCAGCAGCCGCGGUAAUACGGAGGGUGCGAGCGUUAAUCGGAAUUACUGGGCGUAAAGCGCAUGCAGGUGGUUCAUUAAGUCAGAU
rnacentral:rRNA from 1 species